GAUGAAGAACGUAGCGAAAUGCGAUAAGUAAUGUGAAUUGCAGAAUUCAGUGAAUCAUCGAAUCUUUGAACGCACAUUGCGCCCCUCGGCACUCCGGGGGGCAUGCCUGUCCGAGCGUCAUUGCACCCCUCGAGCCCCCCGUGGCUUGGUCGUGAGCCGCGCCCGCGCCAGCCCCGUCCCCCCCCGUGCCGCGGGGGGCAGGGGCGCCGGGCGGGCUCGAAACGCAGUGGCGGCCCCCGGGCGACUUCCAGCGCGAUGACAUGUUUCGCUGCCGAAGCCUUCGCCCCGGGCGCCCGCCAGGCAACCCCCGUGCUUCUUACGCGGUUGACCUCGGAUCAGGCAGGGAUACCCGCUGAACUUAAGCAUAUCAAUAAGCGGAGGA
rnacentral:misc_RNA from 1 species